UUAUUAGAAGAGACGCAUUUAUUAGAUAAAAAGCCAAUGCAUGCUUUUACAGUAUGGAAAUUGGUGAUUUAUAAUAACUUGGCAAAUCGCAAAGUGAAAACAGGCGAUAAAUCAUUCAAGUUUCUGACCUAUCAGCUUUCGACGGUAUGGUAUUGGCUUACCGUGGCAGUGACGGUUAACGGGGGAUUAGGGUUCGAUUCCGGAGAGGGAGCCUGAGAAACGGCUACCACAUCUAAGGAAGGCAGCAGGCGCGCAAAUUACCCAAUUCUAACAGUUUGAGAGAGGUAGUAACAAGAAAUAACAAUACAAGGCAAUUAAAAUGCUUUGUAAUUGGAAUGAUAGAAAUUUAAACCCUUUUUAAAGUAUCAAUUGGAGGGCAAGUCUGGUGCCAGCAGCCGCGGUAAUUCCAGCUCCAAUAGCGUAUAUUAAAAUUGUUGCAGUUAAAAAGCUCGUAGUUGAAGUUCUGCUAAAAGUAACCGGUCUGCUUUUAAUAAAAGUGGUAUCUUGGUGUGUAUUUAGCAAUGAUGUCCUUUGAAGUGUUUUUUACUUUAUUGUAAUAAAGCAUAUUCAGGACUUUUACUUUGAGAAAAUUAGAGUGUUUCUAGCAGGCCGACGCUUUGAAUA
rnacentral:rRNA from 1 species